AGUGAACGCUGGCGGUAGGCCUAACACAUGCAAGUCGAACGGCAGCACAGUAAGAGCUUGCUCUUACGGGUGGCGAGUGGCGGGCGGGUGAGGAAGACAUCGGAAUCUACUUUUUCGAGGGGGAUAACGAAGGGAAACUUACGGUAAUACAGCAUACGACCUACGGGUGAAAGCAGUGGAUCUUCGGACCUUGCGCGAUUGAAUGAGCCGAUGUCGGGUUAGCUAGUUGGCGGGGUAAAGGCCCACCAAGGCGACGAUCCGUAGCUGGUCUGAGAGGAUGAUCAGCCACACUGGAACUGAGACACCGUCCAGACUCCUACGGGAGGCAGCAGUGGGCAAUAUUGGACAAUGGCAGCAAGCCUGAUCCAGCCAUACCGCGUGGGUGAAGAAGGCCUUCGGGUUGUAAAGCACUUUUGUUGGGAAAGAAAAGCAGCAGGUUAAUACCCCGCUGUUCUGACGGUACCCAAAGAAUAAGCACCGGCUAACUUCGUG
rnacentral:rRNA from 1 species